UACGGAGGGUGCAAGCGUUAUCCGGAAUCACUGGGCGUAAAGGGCGCGUAGGCGGCUGGGGAAGUCGGCGGUGAAAGCCCGGAGCUCAACUCCGGGUCGGCCGUCGAGACUCCUCGGCUCGAGCUCACUAGAGGCAGAUGGAAUUCCGGGUGUAGCGGUGGAAUGCGUAGAGAUCCGGAAGAACACCGGUGGCGAAGGCGGUCUGCUGGGGUGAGGCUGACGCUGAGGCGCGACAGCGUGGGGAGCAAACAGG
rnacentral:rRNA from 1 species